rnacentral:tRNA from 1 species
GUCUGAGUUGCAUUCAGAGGAUGCGUGGUAAGGUUACGCAGGUCUUC